GGAUUAGAUACCCUGGUAGUCCACGCCGUAAACGAUGGAUACUAGGCGUUCGGGAAGUUAACCUCCUGAGUGCUGAAGCUAACGCAUUAAGUAUCCCGCCUGGGGAGUACGGUCGCAAGGCUAAAACUCAAAGGAAUUGACGGGGGCCCGCACAAGCGGUGGAGUAUGUGGUUUAAUUCGAAGCAACGCGCAGAACCUUACCUACCCUUAACAUCCCGGGACGAUUGCAGAGAUGUAAUUUCCUCUUCGGAGGCUCGGUGAUAGGUGCUGCAUGGCUGUCGUCAGCUCGUGCCG
rnacentral:rRNA from 1 species